rnacentral:rRNA from 1 species
AGAUGGCGACCGGCACACGGGUGAGUAACACGUAUCCAACCUGCCGAUAACUCGGGGAUAGCCUUUCGAAAGAAAGAUUAAUACCCGAUGGCAUAAUUAGACCGCAUGGUCUUAUUAUUAAAGAAUUUCGGUUAUCGAUGGGGAUGCGUUCCAUUAGGCAGUUGGUGAGGUAACGGCUCACCAAACCUUCGAUGGAUAGGGGUUCUGAGAGGAAGGUCCCCCACAUUGGAACUGAGACACGGUCCAA